rnacentral:rRNA from 1 species
GCUACGGGUGGCAGCAGUGAGGAAUAUUGGUCAAUGGGCGUAAGCCUGAACCAGCCAAGUCGCGUGAGGGAUGAAGGUUCUAUGGAUCGUAAACAUCUUUUAUAAGGGAAUAAAGUGUGGGACGUGUCCUAUUUUGUAUGUACCUUAUGAAUAAGUAUCGGCUAACUAUGUGCCAGCAGCCGCGGUAAUACGGAGGAUCCGAGCGUUAUCCUGAUGUAUUGGGGUUAAAGGGUGCGUAGGCGGCCUUUUACAUCAUGGGGGAAAGUCUGUGGCUCAACCAUAGAAUUGCCGUUGACAGUGGGGGGCUUGAGUAUGUUUGAGGCAGGCGGAAUGAGUGGUGUAGCGGUGAAAUGCUUAGAUAUCACGCAGAACCCCGAUUGCGAAGGCAGCCUGCCAAGCCAUGACUGACGCUGAUGCACGAAAGCGUGGGGAUCAAACAGGAUUAGAUACCCCUGUAGUC